UAUCACUGGUAAGGGCGUAUGGUGGAUGCCUUGGUAGACAGGACCGAUGAAGGACGUGACGGGCUGCGAUAUGCCUCGGGGAGCUGCCGAGUGGGCUUUGAUCCGAGGAUUUCCGAAUGGGGAGACCCGGCCACUGUUAUGGGUGGUCACCACAGUUUUUGUGGGGGGUACGCAGGGAAGUGAAACAUCUCAGUACCUGCAGGAAAGGAUACUCCGUGAGUAGUGGCGAGCGAAAGCGGAUCAGGCUAAACCGAGUACGUGUGAUAACCGUCAGGUGUUGCGUAUUCGGGGUCGUGGGAUUGACUGUUCAGCCUCUGACGGGGUUGAGAAGAGUGAUAAAAUGUCGUGUUAUGUGAAUGGGAUUGAAUUCCCAGCCGUAGAGGGUGAUGGCCCCGUAGCAGGUUGCGCGAUGUCUUUUUAUGUUUAUUCCCAAGUAGCGCGGGCCUCGUGGAAUCCCGCGUGAAUCUGCCCAGACCGUUGGGUAAGCCUAAGUAUUCCUGUCUGACCGAUAGUGUACUAGUACCGUGAGGGAAAGGUGAAAAGCACCCCGGGAGGGGAGUGAAAUAGUUCCUGAAACCGUGCGCUUACAAUCCGUCGGAGCCUUCUUUGUGGGGUGACGGCGUGCCUAUCGAAAAAUGAGUCUGCGAGUCAGUGGUAUGUGGCGAGGCUAACCCGGGUGGGGGAGCCGUAGCGAAAGCGAGUUUUAAAAGGCGUUUUAGUCGCAUGUCCUGGACCCGAAGCGGGAUGAUCUAGCCCUGAGCAGGUUGAAGCGCGGGUAAGACCGUGUGGAGGACCGAACCCACCUAGGUUGAAAACUGGGGGGAUGACUUGGGGUUAGGGGUGAAAGGCCAAUCAAAUUCCGUGAUAGCUGGUUCUCUCCGAAAUGCAUUUAGGUGCAGCGUCAUGUUAUUGCUUGCAGGGGGUAGAGCUACUGGAUGCUUGCGGGCCCAUACCGGGUACUAAUAGCAGCCAAACUCCGAAUACCUGUUAGGUUUAUCAUGGCAGUGAGUCGGCGGGGGAUAAGCUCCGUCGUCAAAAGGGAAACAGCCCUGAUCGUCGUCUAAGGUCCCGAAGCGCGUGCUAAGUGGGAAAGGAUGUGGAGUCGCAUAGACAGCCAGGAGGUUGGCUCAGAAGCAGCCAUCCUUGAAAGAGUGCGUAACAGCUCACUGGUCUAGUGGUUCCGCGCCGACAAUGUAGCGGGGCUUAAGCACGCCACCGAAGACGCGACUGCAUGAUUUAGUUCAUGUGGGGUAGGAGAGCGUCCUGUAUGGGGUGAAGCGGCAGUGUGAACUUGUCGUGGACUAUACGGGAGUGAGAAUGCAGACAUGAGUAGCGAGAGACAGGUGUGAAUCCUGUCCGCUGAAUGACUAAGGGUUCCGGGGCCACGUUCGUCGUCCCCGGGUGAGUCGAGUCCUAAGGCGAGGCCGACAGGCGUAGUCGAAUGGAUGAACGGGUUGAUAUUCCCGUACCGGUGUUACACCGUUCGAACUGAAUCUGAGAGUACUAACCUUCGUUAUUCUGGUUGAUUAUCUUUCGGGGUUUUUGACUGGUUUAGUGUUGGGACUGUAUCGGUAGUAGGUUAGCGUGGGAGUGACGCGGGUAGGUAGCCGGCUGCGGAGGUGGUUUUCCGUGGCUAAGCGUGUGGGCUGUCCUCUAGGUAAAUCCGGGGGAUGUUAAGCUGAGGCGUGAUGGGUAGGCUGUAAGGCUGAUUCCGGUGAUCCUGCUUGCCGAGAAAAGCUUCAACGUGAGGUGUGAUUCCGCUCGUACCCUAAACCGACACUGGUGGUCUGGUAGAGUAUACCAAAGCGAUCGGGCGAAUCCUGGCCAAGGAACUCGGCAAAUUACUCCCGUGCCUUCGGCAUAAGGGAGACCCCUGAUGGUGAUAUGGUUUCACAUUGUUGAGCUGUUGGGGGUGGCACAAGCUAGGGGGUAGCGACUGUUUACCAAAAACACAGGAGCGUGCGAAGGCGUAAGCCGCUGUAUACGCUCUGACGCCUGCCCGGUGCCGGAAGGUUAAGAGGAUCCGUUAGCUUCGGUGAAGCGGUGAAUUUAAGCCCCGGUAAACGGCGGUGGUAACUAUAACCAUCCUAAGGUAGCGAAAUUCCUUGUCGGGUAAGUUCCGACCUGCACGAA
rnacentral:rRNA from 1 species